AUUGAACGCUGGCGGCGUGCUUAACACAUGCAAGUCGAUCGGUAACAGGUGUAGCAAUACAUGCUGACGAGAGGCGGACGGGUGAGUAAUGCUUGGGAAUCUGCCUAUUAGUGGGGGACAACCCGGGGAAACUCGGGCUAAUACCGCAUACGCUCUACGGAGGAAAGCCGGGGACCGCAAGGCCUGGCGCUAAUAGAUGAGCCCAAGUCGGAUUAGCUAGUUGGUAGGGAACGGCCUACCAAGGCGACAAUCCGUAGCUGGUCUGAGAGGACGACCAGCCACACCGGAACUGAGACACGGUCCGGACUCCUACGGGAGGCAGCAGUGGGGAAUAUUGGACAAUGGGGGCAACCCUGAUCCAGCGACGCCGCGUGGGUGAAGAAGGCCUGCGGGUUGUAAAGCCCUUUCGGGUGGGGAAGAAAAGUCUCGACCUAAUACGUCGGGACCUUGACGUAACCCACUAAAGAAGCACCGGCUAACUCUGUGCCAGCCGCCGC
rnacentral:rRNA from 1 species